ACUCCUGCGGGAGGCAGCAGUGGGGAAUAUUGGACAAUGGGCGCAAGCCUGAUCCAGCCAUGCCGCGUGAGUGAUGAAGGCCCUAGGGUUGUAAAGCUCUUUCACCGGUGAAGAUAAUGACGGUAACCGGAGAAGAAGCCCCGGCUAACUUCGUGCCAGCAGCCGCGGUAAUACGAAGGGGGCUAGCGUUGUUCGGAUUUACUGGGCGUAAAGCGCACGUAGGCGGACUAUUAAGUCAGGGGUGAAAUCCCGGGGCUCAACCCCGGAACUGCCUUUGAUACUGGUAGUCUUGAGUUCGAGGGAGGUGAGUGGAAUUCCGAGUGUAGAGGUGAAAUUCGUAGAUAUUCGGAGGAACACCAGUGGCGAAGGCGGCUCACUGGCUCGAUACUGACGCUGAGGUGCGAAAGCGUGGGGAGCAAACAGGAUUAUAAACCCUUGUAGUCCCAUG
rnacentral:rRNA from 1 species